AUCGCUCUAGCCGAAUGUUGGCCCUGGGGGGGGGGGGGAUGGGGAAGGAAGGGAAAAGAAAACCAUUCGUUCUCCGAGCCUCCUGGUCACGGGACAUAUUGGCAAAGGCAAUGUGCCGGAGAGAAAAAACGCGUGGAGAGCCCAGUUUACAUUUCCGUCAGUUUUUGAAUCCAAAUACCCCGUAAUCUUGUCGGAUUUACUGUUUCUUUCCUUCGAAAAUUACUAUAUAGAGUGCGAACGGACGUCGCAUGGUAGCGAUCGAAUCGGUCGGAAAUAUAUUAUUAGUUAGGGGGUUUUAGUGUGUUAUAGUGCGAAAUAUCUGGUCAAAUCGAGCAAAUGUGUUCAGACUGAAAGAUACAAGAUGGUAUCAUUUAAAAUUUGAAGGUGCCACGAAAGCGUUUGCAAAAAUUCAACGCUUUUAUUCCAUUGGAUCACCCAGUGUACCAGCUAAGGUGAAGCAGCCGGGUUACCCAAAUCACAGCCGCAUCAAGCAGCACCAGAAGGGGCAGUGGCCAGAAGGCUGGGCACCCAAUUGGCACUUGAACCUGUCACUGUCAACGACCCUCCAAGGCUACAAGCGGACAGGUGUGGAGUGGCACUUGAGUGAAAAUUUGCAUUUUAUUUCCGUUUCCCCUUUAAACACUGGAAGGUUUACCUCGACCAUAAUAAAAACAUAAAAGAAUACAGUUCUAAAGUGAAUAUCCUCGAUAGGAGUAU